CAUUGUGCUGGUGCGGUGAUGUUCCUGUUUCAGGGAUAUUUUGGUUGUAUUCUACAUACUGGCGAUUUUCGUUAUUUUGAUGGUAUGCUAGAUAUACCUCUGUUUACGAAUGGCAUUGUUAUCAAUACGCUGUACCUAGACAACACAUAUUGUGACCCAAAAUGUGAAUUUCCUACAAGGGCUGAAGCAAAAGAAAAAAUAUUGGAGAUUAUACAUAACAAUCCUGAAAAGGAUAUAAGGUUUGGCGUGGAUAUGCUUGGAAAGGAGGACAUGCUCUGUGACAUUGCCAAAGACCAAGGUUUCCCGAUUUUUGUGGAUGAAUUUCGUUAUAAGACUGCGGAGUUACUUGGCUAUGGCGAAUAUUUUACUUUAAAUCAGGAAGAGACAUACAUUAGAGCGGAGAAAAAAAGUUGUGUUAACAGAUGCUCAUUGGCAUUUUUGAACAACGGUAUUUGUCCAACAAUAGGUAUCAUACCAAGCGCUUUAUACCAAGGCAGAGAUAACCCAUUUGUAAAAUCUGACACAAUCUUUGUUGUGCCAUAUUCUGAUCAUUCCUCAUUCUCUGAGCUGAAAAAAUUUGUUGCCAAAUUGAAACCACAGCGUAUUAUUCCAAUUGUUUCUAAGAAGAAUAAGGACGAAGACUCGCACGACCGAGCAGACAUGACGAUUUUUGCAGAAGAAAUGUCAAGUGAUGCAGGACAACAUGUGUUCGAUGUACCUUCGACAGUACAAGCAUUCAUAUCGAGAGAUUUUAGUGGAAAUUUAAAUUGCAGCGGCAAGAAACGAAAGGCGUCAACUAGCUACUUUAAUGGUAGAUCAAAACGAGCAUGUGGUAUUGUUUUCUCACCUGGAAAGCAAGGAGAAGUGCACAAAGACGAAGAUCAAAUGCCCAUCGAUCCAAAUAUUACUAACAGAUCUGAAACAGACGUGAAGGAAAAUGAGAAAGGUGAGAAUAAAAGAGAAUUAUUGAUUGAUGUUGAGUAUACUUUUGUGCGAAUAUGAUGUUUGCGAUGUUACUCUGAGUGUGCAUCCACACCGGGCAAGCUGUGGUCAGGCAAACGUUUCAGCUUGCCCGGUGUAGAUGCGCACUCAGAGUAAGAUCACAAACAUCAUAUUCACCUGAGUACAUAACACCAAGUCCAACAUAUGCAAAAAGUAUCAUAUCUUAGAACACAUUGAUAUCGAAGGAACUAGACUCAGUUCCGAAAUAUCACCACUCGAACCGACUUGACCUCGUAGCUCAGUUGGUAGUCUAGAUCAUUGAACUAGUAUCCCAAAGGUCGCGGGUUCGAUUACCACCAUGGUCAGGCAAACUUUUCAGCUUGCUCGGUGUGGAUGCAUACUCAGAUGUUGAGUAUGUCAUAUUAUUAUUAUUAUUAUUAUUAUUAUUAUUAUUAUUAUUAUAAUAUGAAUAAUAAUAAUAAUAAUAAUAAUAAUAAUAAUAAUAUUAUAAUAUUAUUAUUAUAAUAUGAUUAUUAUUACAAGGAAUGGAUGAAUCCGGAACUGUUAAGUGUUUAAACGUUGUACUGUCAUUUUGUUAUCUUAAUAGUAUAAUUUUUGCAUAUAUAAUCAGUGAUUUAAGUAGCCAGUUGUAAAUUACCUGAUAUAAAUGAGAUUUGCAAUUGUAUAUAUAAGCUAACUAUCCAUUUAAUAAAGUUUUCAUUAUUAUUAUUAUUAUUAUUAUUAUUAUUAUUAUUAUUAUUAUUAUUAUUAUUAUUAUAUGUCGUCAUGAUGUCACUGUUGAGUUCAUAUGAUGAUUGCCAAUCCAGAAUUGGACCUAUUCCCUAAUGAACAAAAUUUCGAUCUAGACAAGUCCAGACAAAAAUGUCAUCACAGCUUGAAAGAGCAUCACAAAAUUAGUAAUAUUCCGAAGUUUCGUUGCGAAAUGUUGUAAAAUGCGGAUAAUAUAGCCCUGCGAAGUUUGCCGUUUUUCAGUCAUUUUGUAUUACGCGCGGGAAAUUGAUACCUUUUUUCAGAAAGCGGUAUCAAUUUGUGAUAUAUGCUUUCAGUUCACCAGAUUAACCCAAAUCUGGCCUUAGUUGAUAAUGUUCGACAUCUUUCUCAUCCAAAAAUUGUCAAACACCAACUUACUCCCCUUUUCUGUUUAUAGGCACUGAGGUAACAUUCCGUGAUACAAGUGCGGUAGUGAAUGCGAAUAUACCUAGCGAACGUGGGGACAAAACCGGUCAAGAAGAAACGUCUUCACCAACAGAAGAAGCAAGCAUCAAGGUCAUCGUAAAGCAGGAGACGGAGGAGACAUCAAAGGAAAAUCGUGGCAAAAACAGUCAAGAAAGAGCAGCGCCGCCCAACCAAGAUAAGACCAAUGCCAAGGGUGACAAUCAAGGCGAACAGGCACAAGAAACAGCUUCACCAACAGAAGAAGCAAGCAUCAAGGUCAGGGUAAAGGAGGAGACGGAGGAGACAUCAAAGGAAAAUCGUGGCAAAAACAGUCAAGAAAGAGCAGCGCCGCCCAACCAAGAUAAGACCAAUGCCAAGGGUGACAGUCAAGGCGAUCUGGCACAGCAGUCUUCUGAAGAAUCACCUGCAGUAAUGGCUGACACAACUUUGACAGGCGCUGUGCAGAGUAGUUCAGGGGAGACUGCUAAGCAAAAUCAUGGCAAAGACAGUCACGAAAGGACAGCGCCGCCCAGUCGAGAUAAGACCAAUGUGAAGGACGACAAUCAAGGCGAUCAGACACAGCAGUCUUUUGUAAAAUUACUAGAAAUGGCUGACACAACUUUGCCAGGGGCUGCACAGAGUAGUUCAGGUGAGACUGCUAAUCAAAGUUGUGGCAAAAACAGUCAAGAAAGAGCAGCGCCGUCCAACCAAGAUAAGAUUAAUGCCAAGGACGACAAUCAAGGCGAUCAGACACAGCAAUCUUCUGGAAAAUCACCAGUAAUGACUGACACAACUUUGCCAGGGACUGCACAGAGUAGUUCAGUUGAGACUACUAAGCAACAUUGUGGCAAAAACAGUCAAGAAAGAGCAGCGCCGUCCAACCAAGAUAAGACCAAUGCCAAGGACGAUAAUCAAGGCGAUCAGACACAGCAAUCGUCUGAAAAAUCACUUGUAAUGGCUGACACAACUUUGCCAGGGGCUGCACAGAGUAGUUCAGGGGAGACUGCUAAGGAAAAUCGUGGCGAGAACAGUCGAGAAAAGACAGCACCGCCCACCCAAGAUAAGACCAAUGCCAAGGACGAUAAUCAAGGCGAUCAGACAGAGCAGUCUUCUGAAAAAUCACCGGUAUUGCCAGACACUGCAGAGAGUAGUUCAGAGGAGACAUCUAAGGAAAAUUGUGGCGAGAGCAGUCAAGAAAGAGCAGCGCCGCCCAUCGAACAAGCAGGGACCGGUGUCAAGGAAGACAUUCAAGACGAUCAGACACAUACGUCUAUUGACAAAUUCAUUGCAGCGGUUGAGACAACUUUGCCAGGCGCUUCACAGAGUAUUUCAGAGGAAAAGCCAACGAAAGAUCGUAACGAAUGCAGUCAGGAAACAGCAGCGCUGGCCGUUGAACAGACAAGGACGACAGUCAACGACGACAAUCAAGACGAUCAGACACACAAGUGUGUUGACAAAUCAGCUGUAGUGUUCAAAGCAACUUUACCUGGCACAGUACAAAGUAGUUCAGAUAAAAAGUCUAAUCAAGAUCUUAAAGGCUUUGCAGAAAGAGCACUGGACACAAUAUUGUCUUCUUUUUGGCCGAGGAAAAGCAAUCCAACAGAAGACAAUGAGGAUGAAUCUUUGCCUAACUUGAAAACUACGGAUGAGUGUGUGAGACAGGAGCAAACGCAACCUGAUGGUUUUCAAAGUGAAUUACAAGUGGAGGGAGAAAGAGAAGAAGCUAUACCACGUGUAACAGAUGAUCAGCGUAUUGUGGAAAGUUGUCCUACUGUUUCUACAGAAUCAAUCCAAAUCCAGAAAACACCAAACUCAGCAGCGCUAACUGACUCAGCAUCUAAUGGUAAUCAAAACACUAGCGAUGAGAAGAUUCUAGGACCGAUAGUUUCACUACAGGGUAGCGAAGAAUUACAAUCGAGUAAACAAAAAGGCAUUCCAGUUCUAACAGAAAUGCAAGGAAACAAAGAAUCGCCGAAUUGUGCUUCCACUGUCACCUGCAUAAAAGAAAUUCCGCCAACUACAAAAAUAGCGAAGGCCAAAAUCCAAGAGGACAAUCAUGGCAUUGAGAUACGAAUGCCUUCUCACAAAUCAGUUACAGUGGUCGAGCCAGAUGGUAUAACUGCUUUGCCUGAAGCACAGGGCACGUCAAGCGCGAACUCUAAAGAAGUAACCAGAACUGUUGGGCAAGAAGCCAGUGCACAGAUUUCGGAUGAUGAGCGAGCUAAAGAAGAUAUAGGUGACUGCGAGAAAACUGCUUUAACAAAAAGACAAGAAGAGCAGGAUAAGAAAAUUGUAGAAAACAAGGAAGGCAAAAACUCUUCCCGUAAUGACAUGCCAAAACCAGUGACAAUAUGCACAAAUGACGAAGGGAUAUUACAUGGAAGUACGGAGGGACUUCUUUCUGUUUCUUUGGAACCAACAGACAAACAGAAAUCACCUAAUUUAGUACCACAAACUGAGUCGGCAUCUUCUAAAGACGUUGAAACAUCUUGCAUUGAGAAGGAUCUGGAGACAGUUAAACUUUCACAAAAUAAUGACGAUAAUAUAAGGUUAAGUAAAACCGAAAAGCUUCCAAUUCCCAAACAAUCAAGUACCAGUAAUGGACCUCUGACUUCUAGUCAUUUGGAAUUAAAUACACACGAACCGCCUCCAAUACUAACAGAAUUACCAGAAAACUACGGAUUUCCUACUCUCGGUCAAAGCGAUUUACAACUGAAAAGGCACGAACAGUCUGCAAUGCCAUCGGAAUUACUAGAAAGCCAAGGAUCUCCUGAGAUUGUUUCCAGUCAAAGUGAAUCGUGCAUAUCCAGUGGAAAAAUGUCUAUUGAAAUGCACGAAGAAGGAACAGAAGAACGUGUAUUACCCAGCAAACGUGUACUCGACGAAACAUCUCAGCAG